UCCAAAGCAACUCACGCAUCGUGUCAACGCUACAGUAGUGCUGGACUGCGGGUUUGCGUGACUUUUGCGGGGACAGAAUCGAUCGGCCCGCCGUUGAGGAACUGACGAGAGCAAUAAACGCGGCCCCGGCUGAGGCCCCCACGACAUGACGGAAUUUCCUCCUCUCCCGACAGCCUACAGCGUACGUAUUUUGUCCGAAAGGGUGAAUUGCAAAAGGUGAGAUGGGCGGUUGCUCUGGAACAUAAAGACAAUCUUGUGACAUCUAAUACUUGAUUUUCAGAAUUAAGAUAGCAAUUUACAGAACGGUUGAGAUCUAAAUCAAGCAGUUCAUUCUCGCCAAACUAGGGUUAUAUUAU
rnacentral:lncRNA from 1 species